rnacentral:rRNA from 1 species
UACGUAGGGUGCAAGCGUUGUCCGGAAUUAUUGGGCGUAAAGAGCUCGUAGGCGGUCUGUCGCGUCGGCUGUGAAAUCCCGAGGCUCAACCUCGGGUCUGCAGUCGAUACGGGCAAACUGGAGUACUGCAGGGGAGACUGGAAUUCCUAGUGUAGCGGUGAAAUGCGCAGAUAUCAGGAGGAACACCGGUGGCGAAGGCGGGUCUCUGGGCAGUAACUGACGCUGGGGAGCGAAAGCGUGGGGAGCGAACAGG